rnacentral:rRNA from 1 species
UACAGAGGGUGCAAACGUUGCUCGGAAUUACUGGGCGUAAAGGGUUUGUAGGUGGCUCGCUAAGUCAGACGUGAAAUCCCUCAGCUUAACUGGGGAACUGCGUCUGAAACUGAUGAGCUUGAGUGCAGGAGAGGAACGCGGAAUUCCAGGUGUAGCGGUGAAAUGCGUAGAUAUCUGGAGGAACACCGGUGGCGAAGGCGGCGUUCUGGACUGCAACUGACACUGUAAAACGAAAGCCAGGGGAGCAAACGGG